UACGUAGGGUGCAAGCGUUGUCCGGAAUUAUUGGGCGUAAAGAGCUCGUAGGCGGUUUGUCGCGUCUGCUGUGAAAACCCGAGGCUCAACCUCGGGCCUGCAGUGGGUACGGGCAGACUAGAGUGCGGUAAGGGAGAUUGGAAUUCCUGGUGUAGCGGUGAAAUGCGCAGAUAUCAGGAAGAACACCCGUGGCGAAGGCGGCUCUCUGGGCCUGCACUGACGCUCAUGCACGAAAGCGUGGGGAGCAAACAGG
rnacentral:rRNA from 1 species